AUAAAAGCCCUUCUGGGUCGGCGUCUGGCACUCGCCUUCUCACGCCGACUGCAACAUGAUCAAGACAGUAAUUGUGCUGGUUUGCGCUGCCCUUCUUUUGGCAUUUGCGGGAGCCAAUCCUGACCCUGAACCUGGUUUUGGUGGACAUGGAUUCGGACACGGUGGGUUCGGCCAUGGAGGAUUCGGACACGGCGGAUUCGGAGGCUUCGGACGUGGCGGAUUCGGAGGAUUCGGACACGGCGGAUAUGGUCGCUGAAGCAGUGCCUUAACUAUGAGCAUGGAGUUUGGAAGAUGAGAAGGAAUAAAGAUGCAACAAAACCACAUUCUAUUCCUUCGAAGUUGGAAAAUGUUUACGGAUAAAAAAGCUUUUCCGUGCAAAUUCAUGAGAUCUUGUAGUUAUCUUUCCGUUAAUGUUAUCCAUAUACUGUGCACCGGUCUCUGGAACAAAUAUUGAAAAUCAAGGUAAUGCGAAAAUAAAUAAAAACACAUAACAACCUA